rnacentral:rRNA from 1 species
AUUGAACGCUGGCGGCAGGCCUAACACAUGCAAGUCGAGCGGAGCGGCAGCCGGGUGAGUAAUGCCUAUGAAUCUGCCUGUUAGUGGGGGAUGACGUCCGGAAACGGGCACUAAUCCCGCAUACUAUCAGAUGAGGCUAGGUCGGAUUAGAUAGGUGGUGGGGUAAAGGCCUACCAAGGCGACGAUCCGUAACUGGUCUGAGAGGAUGAUCAGUCACACUGGAACUGAGACACGGCCCAGACUCCUACGGGAGGCAGCAGUGGGGAAUAUUGGACAAUGGGCGAAAGCCUGAUGCAGCCAUGCCGCGUGUGUGAAGAAGGUCUUCGGAUUGUAAAGCACUUUAAGUUGGGAGGCGUUACCAACAGAAUAAGCACCGGCUAACUUCGUGCCAGCAGCCGCGGUAAUAC